GGGGAUGUUUUGGUUUUGACAGCAUUCACAAUCGGAAGAUAAGCACGUCGAGCGUUGUAUCCCCGGCUCGUAAAUCCCGGAGUACAAGCCAUAACUGGCAACAAUAACUAUGCACUCGCUGCGUAAUUUAAGCAUAGCUUAAAACGCUUAAUUGUGGCAGGCCAGGUCCUGUUAUAACGAGUAUCCCGCCGGGUCUUUAAGCCCUCUAUGAAACGGCAAAUGGGGUAUCAUUCAAGAGUGGAUGCGGAGGCGGACUCCUUUAAAGUCUCCUAAGUACUCAGAGGAUAAGCCGUGAGUGGCCUGCCUUUCGGCAGCU
rnacentral:tmRNA from 1 species